rnacentral:rRNA from 1 species
UACGUAGGGUGCGAGCGUUAAUCGGAAUUACUGGGCGUAAAGCGUGCGCAGGCGGUUUUGUAAGCCAGAUGUGAAAUCCCCGGGCUUAACCUGGGAAUGGCAUUUGGGACUGCAAGGCUCGAGUGCGGCAGAGGAGACUGGAAUUCCUGGUGUAGCAGUGAAAUGCGUAGAUAUCAGGAGGAACACCGGUGGCGAAGGCGGCAUCCUGGACCGGCAUUGACGCUGAUGAGCGAAAGCUAGGGGAGCAAACGGG